UGGGGAAUAUUGCACAAUGGAGGGAACUCUGAUGCAGCAACGCCGCGCGCGGGAUGACGGCCUGCGGGUUGUAAACCGCUUUCAGCCAUGACGAAGCUUUUGUGACGGUAGUGGUAGAAGAAGCACCGGCUAACUACGUGCCAGCAGCCGCGGGGAUACGUAGGGUGCGAGCGUUGUCCGGAAUUAUUGGGCGUAAAGAGCUUGUAGGCGGUUUGUCGCGUCGAUAGUGUAAACACGCAGCUUAACUGUGUGCCUGCUGUCGAUACGGGCUGACUAGAGGAGGGUAGGGGAGAAUGGAAUUCCCGGUGGAGCGGUGGAAUGCGCAGAUAUCGGGAGGAACACCAGUGGCGAAGGCGGUUCUCUGGACCUUUCCUGACGCUGAGAAUCGAAAGCGUGGGUAGCAAACAGG
rnacentral:rRNA from 1 species